rnacentral:rRNA from 1 species
GAUUAACGCUGGCGGCGUGCAUAACACAUGCAAGUCGAACGAUGAAACUUAAAUGAUUUCUUCGGAAUGAACUUAAGUGGAUUAGUGGCGGACGGGUGAGUAACGCGUGAGUAACCUGCCUUACACAAGGGGAUAGCCGUUGGAAACGACGAAUAAUACCCUAUGAAACUAUCACUUCGCAUGAAGCGAUAGUCAAAGUGUUAGCGGUGUAAGAUGGACUUGCGUCUGAUUAGCUAGUUGGUGAGAAAAAAGCCCACCAAGGCAACGAUCAGUAGCCGGCUUGAGAGAGUGUACGGCCACAUUGGGACUGAGACACGGCCCAGACUCCUACGGGAGGCAGCAGUGGGGAAGUUUGCACAAUGGGGGAAACCCUGAUGCAGCGACGCCGCGUGAUUGAGAAGGCCUUCGGGUUGUAAAAAUCUUUUGUAUAGGAAGAAAAUGACAGUACUAUACGAAUAAGGUCCGGCUAAUUACGUG